rnacentral:lncRNA from 1 species
CUAACUCUUGCAUUGCAUUCGUGUAGAGCUGCGUCUCGCCGACGGCUUCUACGAGCUGCACCCGGCGCCAGAAGACGAAGCUGCAACCGAGCUCCCGCUUCCAGAAGCCGAAGCCGCCCCCGCAGAAGACCCCUUCCCUUCCUCCUCGUUCGAAGGCAAGCCCCGAAGCAUGAACCCCAGUUUCCCAAACUUGCGCAUGCCUUCUGCUUCUUGUUUGUGCAUUUACGUAUAGGAGUUGCUUGAAACCAUAGAUGCAUGACUUAGUUCCCUGAUCUGAACACUAG